rnacentral:sRNA from 1 species
UAAGAACAAUGGAAAAUGCGGUAGCUGC